rnacentral:rRNA from 1 species
UCCGGUGGUUCUGAAUGGAAGGGCCAUCGCUCAACGGAUAAAAGGUACUCCGGGGAUAACAGGCUGAUACCGCCCAAGAGUUCAUAUCGACGGCGGUGUUUGGCACCUCGAUGUCGGCUCAUCACAUCCUGGGGCUGAAGUAGGUCCCAAGGGUAUGGCUGUUCGCCAUUUAAAGUGGUACGCGAGCUGGGUUUAGAACGUCGUGAGACAGUUCGGUCCCUAUCUGCCGUGGGCGCUGGAGAACUGAGGGGGGCUGCUCCUAGUACGAGAGGACCGGAGUGGACGCAUCACUGGUGUUCGGGUUGUCAUGCCAAUGGCACUGCCCGGUAGCUAAAUGCGGAAGAGAUAAGUGCUGAAAGCAUCUAAGCACGAAACUUGCCCCGAGAUGAGUUCUCCCUGAGACUUUAGGUCUCCUGAAGGAACGUUGAAGACGACGACGUUGAUAGGCCGGGUGUGUAAGCGCAGCGAUGCGUUGAGCUAACCGGUACUAAUGAACCGUGAGGCUUAACCUUACA